CAACUGACAUUGAGGGCUUGAAAGUGUGGGUAUCAAACAGGAUUAGAUACCCUGGUAGUCCACACGGUAAACGAUGAAUACUCGCUGUUUGCGAUAUACAGCAAGCGGCCAAGCGAAAGCGUUAAGUAUUCCACCUGGGGAGUACGCCGGCAACGGUGAAACUCAAAGGAAUUGACGGGGGCCCGCACAAGCGGAGGAACAUGUGGUUUAAUUCGAUGAUACGCGAGGAACCUUACCCGGGCUUAAAUUGCAGAUGAAUUACGGUGAAAGCCGUAAGCCGCAAGGCAUCUGUGAAGGUGCUGCAUGGUUGUCGUCAGCUCGUGCCGUGAGGUGUCGGCUUAAGUGCCAUAACGAGCGCAACCCUUGUUGUCAGUUACUAACAGGUUCUGCUGAGGACUCUGACAAGACUGCCAUCGUAAGAUGUGAGGAAGGUGGGGAUGACGUCAAAUCAGCACGGCCCUUACGUCCGGGGCUACACACGUGUUACAAUGGGGGGUACAGAGGGCCGCUACCACGCGAGUGGAUGCCAAUCCCCAAAACCUCUCUCAGUUCGGACUGGAGUCUGCAACCCGACUCCACGAAGCUGGAUUCGCUAGUAAUCGCGCAUCAGCCACGGCGCGGUGAAUACGUUCCCGGGCCUUGUACACACCGCCCGUCAAGCCAUGGGAGCCGGGGGUACCUGAAGUGCGUAACCGCGAGGAGCGCCCUAGGGUAAAACU
rnacentral:rRNA from 1 species